rnacentral:tRNA from 1 species
GCCAAAGUGGCGGAAUUGGUAGACGCAGCGGAUUCAAAAUCCGCCGCUAGAAAUAGCGUAUGGGUUCGAGCCCCAUCUUUGGUACCA